rnacentral:lncRNA from 1 species
AAACAUUUUGUUCAAGUUUUGGGAGGGGUUGCAAAGGGUUUAGGGUUGAGGCAUUUAUCGUGUCCAAAUAUAUAAACUCAAAUUAUUUACACAUUUAUUGUGUCCGGUAUCUCGUAUUUUGCCUAUUUCUUUAUUUUUAUUUUUCAAACCAAGCAAAAAAAAACACGUAAGAAAAGGACUACAAUAAAUAUGAAAAUCACAUCUUAUACAUGAAAACCGAUGCCUAUAUCCCUCGGAUAUUUUUUGAAAAUUUGGAUUUUUCUUGGUGGGUUUGCAUAUAAACAUUGGCUAAUUGUCACUUUCUUAUAUCCUUAUCCCUAUCCAGCAAGCACAGUGCUGGUGCGCCAGUCAAUUCUGAUUGCUAAGCCAGCCAUGUCAUCUGUUGCAUGCAGCCACAACAGAGGGAGGACAAGGCAAACGUUAACAUCUUUCUGACAUGGAAAGAAAGACAUGCACAUUAUUAUUGUCAUGCCUCCAAGUCCAUCAUUUAUUUUAUUUUAUUUUAUUUUAUUUUUUAUUUCCUCAGAAGGAACAUCAAUAAUUUUGAUGCAAAUUUAUUUAUUAAUUUUUUGAAAAUAUUAUUAUGAGCGCACAAUUUAUUGUGCACCAUUUUGGUUGGAAAAGAUAUGAGAUGUACAAACGCAUCCGCUAACUAUGAUAGUUACAAAAAUUUUAGGGUUGGG